rnacentral:rRNA from 1 species
CUUACGGGAGGCUGCAGUAAGGAAUCUUCCGCAAUGGACGAAAGUCUGACGGAGCGACACCGCGUGAAGGAUGAAGGCCUAUGGGUUGUAAACUUCUUUUCUGUGGGAAGAAAACCUGACGGUACCACAGGAAUAAGGACCGGCUAAUUACGUGCCAGCAGCCGCGGUAAUACGUAAGGUCCGAGCGUUACCCGGAAUUAUUGGGUGUAAAGCGUCCGCAGGUGGUGCGGGAAGUCAGUUAUUAAAUACCGGAGCUCAACUUCGGUGCUGUAAUUGAAACUUCCGUGCUAGAGGAUGGGAGAGGUAUAUGGAAUUGUGCAAGUAGGGGUAAAAUCCGUAGAUAUGCACAGGAACACCAAAAGCGAAGGCAGUAUACUGGACCAUUCCUGACACUCAGGGACGAAAGCGUGGGGAGCGAAACGGAUUAGAUACCCUGGUAGUC